UACGGAGGGUGCGAGCGUUAAUCGGAAUUACUGGGCGUAAAGCGCGCGUAGGUGGUUUGAUGAGUCUGAUGUGAAAGCCCUGGGCUUAACCUGGGAAUGGCAUUGGAUACUGUCAGGCUAGAGUGUGGGAGAGGGUAGUGGAAUUUCCGGUGUAGCAGUGAAAUGCGUAGAGAUCGGAAGGAACACCAGUGGCGAAGGCGGCUACCUGGACCAACACUGACGCUGAGGUGCGAAAGCGUGGGGAGCAAACAGG
rnacentral:rRNA from 1 species